CGUAGGACCACACACACACACAAAGUAGAAGUGUCCGCAGGAAUCUGAACGGUUUAACAGCAGCAAAAAGCACCCAGAUUGUCAUAUGCUACUUACCUGACUGCACUGCCAGGCUGUUUUUCUUGGUCUGGCUCUUGAGGAGGAGAACUACAUGCACUGCAGAUGUUCCAUCACGUCACGUCUCUCUCGGGCAGCCAUGGCCAACAGUGAGAACAAGGCUCCCCAUCACAUACGGGAAGGUGAAGCAUUCAGGCAGCUUGGCAGAAGCUCAAGAGAACAGAAGUGUAUUUUUCUUGGUGAAGUUUUGAGGUCCUUACAAAGUUGUGGAUUUGAGGGGAUCCAGUAGCCACAGUGUGUCUGAGCUGAUCGCUCACCACCAGCAUCAUCUGGGUUUUGGAUAUCUUUGAUAUCUUCAGCUCACCCCUCCCAGCAACAUCUGAGGCAAGACUCUAAUUAAGGACUGUUGUCUCUUCUCUUGGAGGAGAGCUCUUAAGACCUUCUACCAACCCUGUCAAUCAAAUAAAUUGAUGAAUCAUUGAGCCAGAGCUAUGGCUACAAGCAGCCCUGCACAGCAAGUUCUGAGGUGAGCUCCUGAAUUUCUUGAUUCCUGCAUGCAGACAAAACCUCUUCAUGGCUGCGGGUCACUGCUGAGGGAAUUCAAAACAAGGCAAAUGAAAGCUCAUUUCACCUCAGGUUCUGUGACUGCUCUCAGGAAGAUGUGAGUUCAGCUCCCCCACCGAGCCUCGUGCUCCCAGGACUGGCAGGACCAGGAGGAGCAUUAGACAGGCAGAGUAAUCUACCCAAACAGGAGGAAAAGAAUCCUAAAGAAAUCCCUCUAGUCGAGUACAGGACACAACCAGCAGUCAGGGAAAGCAAGGGAAUUCAUGGAGCGUGGGGGAAGAGAAAGGUUAUAAACAGUGUGUCUUGGUUUGAAAAGACAGGUGUCUGAUAAGGAAGGCAGGAGACUCCCCUGAAAUGGAAAAUGCAAACCCCCUCCCUCCAAAUUGUUAUCAUUUUGAAAUUAAGGGGCUCUCAGGCAAAGAUAUGGGAAUAGGAAUAACAGUUCUUUAUUAGAGAAGAAAAUAAAAUACAAAUGCAGUAAUACAA